CCCUUAGAUGUUCUGGGCCGCACGCGCGCUACACUGACUGGUGCAACAAGUGUCUGACCUUGGCUCGAGAGGCCUGGGCAACCUUUGAACGCCAGUCGUGCUGGGGAUAGAUUCUUGCAAUUAUUAAUCUUCAACGAGGAAUUCCUAGUAAACGCAAGUCAUCAGCUUGCAUUGAUUACGUCCCUGCCCUUUGUACACACCGCCCGUCGCACCUACCGAUUGAACAAUCCGGUGAAUAAUUCGGAUCGUCGUGUAGUGGGGUUCGCCUCGCUACGUGUACGAGAGGUCUAGUGAACCUUAUUGUUUAGAGGAAGGAGAAGUCGUAACA
rnacentral:rRNA from 1 species